rnacentral:misc_RNA from 1 species
GAUGAAGAACGUAGUGAAAUGCGAUACUUGGUGUGAAUUGCAGAAUCCCGUGAACCAUCGAGCCUUUGAACGCAAGUUGCGCCCGAAGCCAUUAGGCCGAGGGCACGCCUGCCUGGGCGUCACACGUCGUUGCCCCCCCAUCUACUCCUUCGGGAUUGCGGGGGGCGGAUGAUGGCCUCCCGUGCGCCUCGUCGCGCGGUUGGCAUAAAUGCCAAGUCCUCGGCGACGCACGCCACGACAAUCGGUGGUUGCGAAACCUCGGUUGCCCGUCGUGUGCGGUCGUCGCGCAUCGAGGGCUCGAAAAAAUUGCCGGGCUCCGGCUCGGCUUUCAACGCGACCCCAGGUCAGGCGGGGUUACCCGCUGAAUUUAAGCAUAUCAAUAAGCGGAGGA